UUGCAAUCCACGAUGAGACUGCAAUCCACGAUGAGACUGCGUGGCAGGCUGACCACCUGUUAUGAGAGUGCAGGUAGCGAGGAGCCAUGAUUCAUGACGUCUCACCAGUGAGGGGUUCAGUUGGUCUGCCGAGGCCGAGGUGGGCAGGGUGGUGCUCUUCUGCCGGUCGAUGCUGCGGCUGCGCACGGGUCCUCGCUGCAUCAGGUGCAGGGGGCUGGGCGAGGCUGAACGAGGACACAGGUGACACUCUGUGUGGGUUUAUACAGAUGCAGCAGGCAGGGGCUGUUUUGUUACCUGGUCGGGGAGACUUCGCUGCUGCUGCUGCUGGGGAUGGCGUGUUAGCUGCUGCUGGGGAUGGCGUGUUAGCUGCUGC